GAUCCUGGCUCAGGAUGAACGCUGGCGGCGUGCUUAACACAUGCAAGUCGAACGGAACUACUUUAAUGAGAUUCUUCGGAAAGGAUUUGAUUUAGUUUAGUGGCGGACGGGUGAGUAACGCGUGGGUAACCUGCCUCAUACAGGGGGAUAACAGUUGGAAACGGCUGUUAAUACCGCAUAAGCGCACAGUACCGCAUGGUACCGUGUGAAAAACUCCGGUGGUAUGAGAUGGGCCCGCGUCUGAUUAGCUGGUUGG
rnacentral:rRNA from 1 species